AUGGCCGCUCCCACCACCACAGCCUCCUCGUCGCCGCCCAAACCUCCCAACGCCGCCAUGCUGCAGCCCGCGCCGCACCUCCCCGACAUGGCCGACGCCGCGCCGGCGCCCAACUCCAGCUCCAGCGUCAGCUCCGCGAGCAGCACCAGCACGGCCGGCCGCUCGUCCGCCUUCUCCGUCGACUCGGCCGCCGCCACGCCCACCUCGUCCCCGCCGCGCCCGCACCGCGCGGGCGACGUGGCGUGGGCGCCCAUCCGCGCCGCCCUGGCGCCGCUCGGCCCGCGGGACUUCACCCUCGUCCGCCGCGUCGGCGCGGGCGACAUCGGCACCGUCUACCUCUGCCGCCUCGAGGCCGAGGGCGACCAGUCGUGCGCCUACGCCAUGAAGGUGGUGGACCGCCGCGCGCUCGCCAAGAAGGGCAAGCUCGGCCGCGCUGCCGCCGAGAAGCGGGUCCUGCGCCGGCUCGACCACCCGUUCCUGCCCACCAUGUUCGCCGACUUCGACGCCGGGACGGAUUACUCCUGCAUCGUCAUGGAGUUCUGCCCCGGCGGGGACCUCCACUCCCUCCGCCACCGCAUGCCCGGCCGCCGCUUCCCGCUCGCCUCCGCCCGGUUCUACGCCGCCGAGGUGCUCCUCGCGCUGGAGUACCUGCACAUGAUGGGCAUCGUGUACCGCGACCUCAAGCCGGAGAACGUGCUCAUCCGGGGCGACGGCCACAUCAUGCUCACCGACUUCGACCUCUCGCUCGAGUCCACGGCGUCGCCGGCGCUCGAGGAGGCAUGGAGCGCGACAGGCGAGGACGACGACGGCGCGAGGCCGAUCCCGGCCUGCUUCCCCGAGGUGCACCUCCUCCGGCUGAUGAAGUGGAGGCGGCGCGCGGCGCCGCGGCCGCGGCCGCGGUUCGUGGCGGAGCCGGUGGACGCGCGGUCGAGCUCGUUCGUGGGGACGCACGAGUACGUGGCGCCGGAGGUGGCGAGCGGCGGCGGGCACGGCGCGUCGGUGGACUGGUGGGCGUACGGCGUGUUCCUGUACGAGCUGCUGUACGGGCGGACCCCGUUCGUGGGCGCCACCAACGAGGCGACGCUCCGCAACAUCGUGCGCGCCCCGCUGGAGUGCCCGCCGCUCGGCGCCGGGACGCCGCACGCGGAGGCGGCGGCGGCGCGGGACCUGAUCGCGCGGCUCCUGGACAAGGACCCGCGGGCGCGGCUGGGGUCGCGGCGCGGCGCCGCGGACGUGAAGGCGCACCCGUUCUUCAAGGGCCUCAACUUGGCGCUGCUUCGGUCGUCGUCCCCGCCCGUCGUGCCGCCGCCGGCCGCGCUGCACCAGCAGCGCGGCAAGGCGUCGCCGGACGUGCACCAGCUGUUCGAGCAGUUCUGA
rnacentral:rRNA from 1 species